rnacentral:lncRNA from 1 species
UUGAAUUCAAUUUUAGGGAUACACAAAUUAAAGAACCCAAUUAGGAGAGCGAAUUAGGUACUAAAAAAAGAAAAAAAUUACUAACCUAGCUCAAUGUUGCUGUCGCCGCCGGAAUAUUCCGCUGUCACCGGCCGAAAGCUGCCGCCUGUAAGAAGAAACCUUGGAAUGAGAGAGAGAUGAAAAAAAGAAAUGGAGAAAGAAAGAGAGAGAUGGAUGGAAGAAGAGUGAUGGAGAGUGACACUUACCGGUUGGAAUCGCCACAAUCGCCAAAGGGAAGGAAGAAGAAUAUGUUAGAGAAGGGAGAGAAGGUUUGGUGGGAAUGAAAAAUGUGAAGAAAAUCAGGUUUGGGGGAAAUAAUAAAAGAAUUUAUGACCGAUUCAGUCGGAAAGUUAAAAAUAGAUCUGACGUGCCACGUCUGCGACCGAUUCGGUCGCUAUUUUAAAUUUAAAAAUUAAUUUUUUUUCUUGUUUGCGAUUGAUUCAGUCG